rnacentral:rRNA from 1 species
UACGUAGGUGGCAAGCGUUGUCCGGAAUUAUUGGGCGUAAAGCGCGCGCAGGUGGUUUCUUAAGUCUGAUGUGAAAGCCCCCGGCUCAACCGGGGAGGGUCAUUGGAAACUGGGAAACUUGAGUGCAGAAGAGGAUAGUGGAAUUCCAAGUGUAGCGGUGAAAUGCGUAGAGAUUUGGAGGAACACCAGUGGCGAAGGCGACUGUCUGGUCUGUAACUGACACUGAGGCGCGAAAAGCGUGGGGAGCAAACAGGG